UACUAAUGGUCACAUCAGGAGUGCUGGGU
rnacentral:piRNA from 1 species